AUCUGGAACUAUGUGUAGACGGGUCCUUGUAUUAUCUGAACGGCAACUGGGCUAUGGGUCAUUCAGUAACUCCUGUGAAUGAAGCAGUGGAGGCUUCACCACUCAGUCCGAAGCUGAGCACACAGGCAGCAGAAUGGAUUGCAUUAACAAAGACUUGCCAGCCGUCCAAAGAAAAGGCUGUAAAUAUUUACACUGAUUCUUGGUAUGGAUUUGGAGCGUGCUGCGCCACUGGGCAGUUAUGGAAGAAGUGUGGGUGUAUAACUUCUAUUGCGAGUGAAGUACUGAACUGUUAAAAGCCAUACAAUUGCCAAAGAAACUAGCUAUCAUUCAUCAGCCAUCCCACACCGGCAAAAGGACAAAAGAAGGAAUAGCAAAUGGGCUAGCGGAUGUUGUGGCUAAAGGCCAGCACGACCGCUGUUCGAACCACCGGGCUUACAAGCAGCACAGCAGUCUGACCUGGUGUUGCCCGCUCCUGAAGAGAUAUAUUUGACUGUUCCUGCUGAGGAAGCUGACUCUUGGAAAAGGAAUGAAGUGACCAAAAACUCCCAGGGAAUAUGGAGAGCAGCUAAAACAAGAUAAAGAUCUUCUAAGUCAGCAGCAUGAAAUGUAAGCAUUGGAACUAUGUAGGCACUGUUUCCUUUUUCCUGGUCUCAUGGCACCUCAGCUGUCUCUUCUGAGUUCUUGAAGGUAAUUGCUAAUAGUUUUGAGAUUGCUCAGCCAUUUUGCUAAAUAUGUUGGCUGAAACUUAUCUGGCACAUGACUUU